UGCGCAGGUGGAAUACUAAGUCGGGGGUGAAAGCCUACAGCUUAACUGUAGAAUUGCCCUCGAUACUGGUAUUCUUGAGUCCCGGAGAGGUCACUGGAAUUCGUGGUGUAGCAGUGAAAUGCGUAGAUAUCACGAGGAACACCAGAAGCGUAGGCGGGUGACUGGACGGGUACUGACACUCAGGCACGAAAGCGUGGGGAGCAAACA
rnacentral:rRNA from 1 species